ACCGGGCGCGGGGGCGCACGCCUGUAGUCCUAGCUACUUGGGAGGCUGAGACAGGAGGAUCGCUGGAGUCCAGGAGUUCUGGGAUGUAGUGUACUAUGCCGAUCGGGUGUCUGCACUAAGUUUGGCAUCAAUAUGGUGACCUCCCAGGAGCAGGGGACCACCAGGUUGCCUAAGGAAGGGUGAGCCAGCCCAGGUCGGAAAUGGAGAAGGGCAAAAUGAAGCCAGCAGUGAAUCCAACACAUGAAGAGUAUGCCAUAAAUUUGCCUUUGAGUCUUCUCUUU
ensembl:misc_RNA Metazoa_SRP Metazoan signal recognition particle RNA